GUAGGUGAACCUGCGGAAGGAUCAUUACAGUGUUGGGCUUCGGCCUCAUUCACACCCCUUGUUUAACCUCUGGUUUCUUUGGCGAUCUCAAUCGUCAAACUUUAACUCUGAUAAUGUGGUACUGUCCGAGUCAAAUUGAAUUAUCAAAACUUUCAACAACGGAUCUCUUGGUUCCA
rnacentral:misc_RNA from 1 species